AGUGACGGGGCUGGUGUGUGGCAGUUGUGUCUGUCUCUGGGCUGGGUGGAAGAGCUCUGACGUGCCCACUUUGACAAUGUUUCUCCGGUACUUGCAGGAGUUGCUGAAGAAGUAUUACUUGGGCACCCCUGUCUCCCCAGUGCCCCUCAAGGUGGUUCUGGCCCUGGAGCAGUUGAGCAAGCUGAAGCCCUCCUUAGGAGCCAAGGACAUGUGUGACAUGCUGAGUCUGUGCUGCAAGAAUGUUGUGUUGCACCCUUCAGCGGAGAUGAUGCUGAAGAUCAGGAAGUCACAGCAAGCAGCUCAGUACCUGCAGCUUCUGCAAGCAUCACUGAAAGCUCUGGGCCGGCUCAUGGUGGUCCUGCUCGAGACAGAGACCAGUGGCUUCUUUCAGAACAUAGUCCAUAGAUCCAUGACGUCAGACAACAUGUGGGAGCGCAAGAGGGCCCUGCAGAUCUGCUCCCAGCUGCUGGCUGCUUGUGAAGAGCGUGG
ensembl:lncRNA